UACAGAGGUCCCAAGCGUUGUUCGGAUUCACUGGGCGUAAAGGGUGCGUAGGUGGUAAGGUAAGUCGGAUGUGAAAGCUCCGAGCUCAACUCGGAAAUGGCAUUGGAAACUACCUUGCUCGAGGGUUUGAGGGGGGACUGGAAUACUUGGUGUAGCAGUGAAAUGCGUAGAUAUCAAGUAGAACACCAGUGGCGAAGGCGAGUCCCUGGAAAACUCCUGACACUGAGGCGCGAAAGCUAGGGGAGCGAACGGG
rnacentral:rRNA from 1 species